UACGGAGGGGGCUAGCGUUGUUCGGAAUUACUGGGUGUAAAGCGCACGUAGGCGGCUUUGUAAGUUAGAGGUGAAAGCCCAGGGCUUAACCCUGGAAUUGCCUUUAAGACUGCAUCGCUAGAAUCGUGGAGAGGUAAGUGGAAUUCCGAGUGUAGAGGUGAAAUUCGUAGAUAUUCGGAAGAACACCAGUGGCGAAGGCGACUUACUGGACACGUAUUGACGCUGAGGUGCGAAAGCGUGGGGAGCAAACAGG
rnacentral:rRNA from 1 species